AACGUAGGUGGCAAGCGUUAUCCGGAUUUACUGGGUGUAAAGGGCGUGUAGGCGGGACUGCAAGUCAGAUGUGAAAACUAUGGGCUCAACUCAUAGCCUGCAUUUGAAACUGUCGGUCUUGAGUGGUGUAGAGGUAAGCGGAAUUCCCGGUGUAGCGGUGGAAUGCGUAGAUAUCGGGAGGAACACCAGUGGCGAAGGCGGCUUACUGGGCACUAACUGACGCUGAGGCUCGAAAGCGUGGGGAGCAA
rnacentral:rRNA from 1 species